rnacentral:rRNA from 1 species
GGCCGCGAAUUCGCCCUUAGGGUUUGAUUAUGGCUCAGGAUGAACGCUGGCGGCGUGCCUAAUACAUGCAAGUCGAGCGAAUGGAUUAAGAGCUUGCUCUUAUGAAGUUAGCGGCGGACGGGUGAGUAACACGUGGGUAACCUGCCCAUAAGACUGGGAUAACUCCGGGAAACCGGGGCUAAUACCGGAUAACAUUUUGAACCGCAUGGUUCGAAAUUGAAAGGCGGCUUCGGCUGUCACUUAUGGAUGGACCCGCGUCGCAUUAGCUAGUUGGUGAGGUAACGGCUCACCAAGGCAACGAUGCGUAGCCGACCUGAGAGGGUGAUCGGCCACACUGGGACUGAGACACGGCCCAGACUCCUACGGGAGGCAGCAGUAGGGAAUCUUCCGCAAUGGACGAAAGUCUGACGGAGCAACGCCGCGUGAGUGAUGAAGGCUUUCGGGUCGUAAAACUCUGUUGUUAGGGAAGAACAAGUGCUAGUUGAAUAAGCUGGCACCUUGACGGUACCUAACCAGAAAGCCACGGCUAACUACGUGCCANCAGCCGCGGUAAUACGUAGGUGGCAAGCGUUAUCCGGAAUUAUUGGGCGUAAAGCGCGCGC